AACGGAGCGUAGAUUAAUUUGGUAAAGCGCUCGGUUUGGGUCCGAGAGAUGUGCAGGUUCAAAUCCUGUCUCCG
rnacentral:tRNA from 1 species